rnacentral:tRNA from 1 species
UCCCUGGAGGACAAGUGGUUAGGCCACAGCACUCUCACUCCUGUGGCCUGGGUUUGAUUCCUGGCUAGGGAC